rnacentral:tRNA from 1 species
ACAAUGGGUCAGAGGUAGAACUCUUGCCUUCCAUGCAGGAGACCCGGGUUCGAUUCCCAGCCAAUGUA